rnacentral:tRNA from 1 species
GAUUCCGUAGUGUAGUGGUUAUCACGUGCGCCUCACACGCGCAAGGUCUCCGGUUCGAGCUCGGGCGGAAUCA